GAAGGCCUAUAAAAUACACAUACCUCCUGCAACAUGUAUGCUGGCAAUUGUAGUUUCUGUGGUGUGAAAACUUGAACUUUGUUUUUUAUUAUUUAUUUAAGUACUUGUGAAUAUUUGUUAUGGGUCAAGGAUGGAAAAUGUUACCCUUGAUAGUAUUCCUACUAUUUUGGAGGACUGCUGAUGGACUUAAAGGGGGUGUUUAUUCAAAUUCUGACACCGUCUCCCCUCAUGUG